CGAGCUGUAAGCCUACCAGAAAGUGUUGCAUAUACACAACAACAUUUCUUGUAUGGCAUGAUAUACUCCUCAAUUCACAAAGACAUCAGCACAGUCUGUUGGGGAAUUAAUCUCAUCCACAUUCCCACGUGUUCAUCUCAAACAGCCUCACAUAGGCCUACCUGAGAAUGAAUCCUAUCUGAGGACUGCAGUCAAUUCUACAGCUUCUACUCAAUCACUUCCACAACCUCGACAACAGACCACGGCAGCUGAGCCAAGACGUGUGUCAGUAUGUUCCGGAACUGCCGGCGAUGACAACACGUAUAUUCAACCUCUGCCCAUCAUCACUGAGGUGCAGGCUGAGUGCCCAAAGAAACCAGCCCCUGUACCAGCAAGAUUCAGCACUGCAAGGUCAGACUCAACCAAUGACAAUCUGCCUGUUCCAAAUUGGAAAAAUCUGUGUAUUGACCCGGAUGAUUUGAAUCUACACUAUGAUGAUGAG